rnacentral:rRNA from 1 species
GACGAACGCUGGCGGCGUGCUUAACACAUGCAAGUCGAACGGAAAGGCCCUGCUUUUCUGGUGUGCUCGAGUUGCGAACGGGUGAGUAACACGUGAGUAACCUGCCCUUGACUUUGGGAUCACUGCAGGAAACUGGGGCUAAUACCGGAUAUUAGCUCCUGCUGCAUGGUGGGGGUUGGAAAGUUUCGGCGGUUGGGGAUGGACUCGCGGCUUAUCAGCUUGUUGGUGGGGUAGUGGCUUACCAAGGCUUUGACGGGUAGCCGGCCUGAGAGGGUGACCGGCCACAUUGGGACUGAGAUACGGCGCAGACUCCUACGGGAGGCAGCAGUGGGGAAUAGUGGACUAUGGGCGGAAGCCUGAUGCAGCAACGCCGCGUGCGGGAUGACGGCCUUCGGGUUGUAAACCGCUUUCGCCUGUGACGAAGCGUGAGUGACGGUAAUGGGUAAAGAAGCACCGGCUAACUACGUG